rnacentral:ribozyme from 1 species
UUCCAAUUAGAAAUGCUAUGAACGACUGUGAGAUGAAAAAACAAAUGAUUACCUCUGCAACGAAUUGGAACCUCAGUGUAAGUGACUGUGUUUCCCCCUUCUCCCUUCUUUCUUCAUCUUUUUCCUUGUCUUCUUUUCUU